GGGCUUAGAGAUAGCCAGCCCCUGGGACAGCUACUUAAGAAGGAGAACCAGAGGGAGGCUGGCAGGGAAACGGGGACUUAAUUCCAGCUUCAUCCCACCCUUUCUCCUCCUUCAUGCCUAACCAGAUUUACCAAAUGAGCUUUCCUCAGAACCCUGAAGAAGCCACUUGGGGUUACACCAGUUGAGUGUUAAAGAAUGUAUGCAUUUUGCAAGUGGCCGAAGACAUUUGCCAAGAUGCUUGUCCUCUGACCCCCUGAGGCUUGGCUGAGGUAAUGGGAGAGAUACGUUGGCUAUAUUUAAGCAGCCAAGACUCUGUAGAGAUGGAAUUUGUCUGGACAUCACUGGAAAAGAAGUGGCGUUUGUUGUGAAAUCUCUGAAGAUGUGUUUUCUCGAGAGCAUCUGAAAGGAGGAAAUAACAAGUUUAGCUGACUAAAAAGACCAGGUGUCUAAUCGACUUGGCUGGUUGUGCUGACAGAUAUUUGAUAUGACAUCAAUUGACUAAACUGAUGGGAAUUUGAAUGAGUUCAGUCAAAAUGUUUGAAUCCAUCAGCAGGGAGUGUCAACCAAUUUUUGCUCUGGAGAAAGCACUCGAGUGUCUGCAUUUUAUAACGAGGAAGUACAAGCUGUUUGGCCUCAAGAAUAAAAAGUGAUCCAAGAGAAGACUUCUUUGAAAGAACCUGAGCGAUUGUUUGUGUCUUCUGAUCUCAUACAAGAACCCGAGUUUGUUCGGGAAAGACCAACUUAUGUGCCCAUUACAGCUCCAUGGUCUCCAGGGAAGGUGCAAGCAGCAGAAGUGAUUCUGGGACAGUGGACCAUGAACAGGGGAAGCUUGGAUCCUUGGUUUACACUCAGUCCUGCCCCCUGCCGCCUCUCCUGUUCUCAACUGCCUUUAGGUGCUCAGGGCCUCUCCCUCCUGGCCCCCCACUCAGGGACUGCUCUACCCUCCAUGCUCAGGGGUGCACAGGUGUGGGGAGGGGCGGAGUUAUGUGAUGCGCACUGCAGCAUCUUGGCCUGUUCCUGGUACCAAGCGAAACCUGGCCCAGAGGUUGCAGUCCCUUGGGGGUCAUCCAUUCACUGUGGGCUGGGGUGGAGGGCUUGCGGGAAGGGGAGACACUGGGCUCAGCUCCCCCAUGCUGGCUGGGGCAGGGUGCGGCAAUCUGAUGGCUGAUGGGAGGGAGCCUGCCGGCAGUGGGUCUUUUGUAGUUAUGCUGAGUCGCUGGCUGGCCCCGUGUGGUGAGGAUCUGUGCACACCUAGCAAGAAUCCCUGUGCCCCUGGGAGUGUGACAUUUAAUAGCAGCUAAAAACAUCAUGACAGGUCAUGACAGGUCAAGGGUGGGGGAAGAGAGAGAGAAAACCACCUGAUGAAAAGUUUCAUAUUUUAGUACAUUUAACUGCAUGUUUCCCCUGCUUUUAGAACCAGGGCCCCAUAUCUUCCUUUUGCACUAGACCCACACAUUCUGCAUCGGGCCCUGUAUCUAGUCCAGGGCUUGUUGAGGGAUAGAUGAGUGAGCACCUGACAGCACUGGGAUCGGGGCCGGUGUGUAUGCAGGGCUCAGUUCACUCUUGGCCAUUUCCGGGCUGGAGGUGUGAGCCACGGUUAGGUUAGGUUCCCUUCCUUUGGAGAGAGAGGGCCACAGUCAUACUUCCGGGGGGCGGGAGGCGGGGAGGGGGAAGCGGCGUCCC